rnacentral:rRNA from 1 species
AGUGGCGGACGGGUGAGUAACGCGUGGGUAACCUGCCUUAUACAGGGGGAUAACAGUCAGAAAUGGCUGCUAAUACCGCAUAAGCGCACAGAGCUGCAUGGCUCAGUGUGAAAAACUCCGGUGGUAUAAGAUGGACCCGCGUUGGAUUAGCUAGUUGGUGGGGUAACGGCCCACCAAGGCGACGAUCCAUAGCCGGCCUGAGAGGGUGAACGGCCACAUUGGGACUGAGACACGGCCCAGACUCCUACGGGAGGCAGCAGUGGGGAAUAUUGCACAAUGGGGGAAACCCUGAUGCAGCGACGCCGCGUGAAGGAAGAAGUAUCUCGGUAUGUAAACUUCUAUCAGUAGGGAAGAUAGUGACGGUACCUGACUAAGAAGCCCCGGCUAACUACGUGCCAGCAGCCGCGGUAAUACGUAGGGAGCGAGCGUUGUCCGGAAUUACUGGGUGUAAAGGGAGCGUAGGCGGGAUCGCAAGUCAGAUGUGAAAACUAUGGGCUUAACCCAUAAACUGCAUUUGAAACUGUGGUUCUUGAGUGAAGUAGAGGUAAGCGGAAUUCCUAGUGUAGCGGUGAAAUGCGUAGAUAUUAGGAGGAACAUCAGUGGCGAAGGCGGCUUACUGGGCUUUAACUGACGCUGAGGCUCGAAAGCGUGGGGAGCAAACAGGAUUAGAUACCCUGGUAGUCCACGCCGUAAACGAUGAUUACUAGGUGUGGGGGGACUGACCCCUUCCGUGCCGCAGCAAACGCAAUAAGUAAUCCACCUGGGGAGUACGACCGCAAGGUUGAAACUCAAAGGAAUUGACGGGGGCCCGCACAAGCAGUGGAGUAUGUGGAUUAAUUCGAAGCAACGCGAAGAACCUUACCAGGUCUUGACAUCGUAUGCAUAGCUCAGAGAUGAGUGAAAUCUCUUCGGAGACAUAUAGACAGGUGGUGCAUGGUUGUCGUCAGCUCGUGUCGUGAGAUGUUGGGUUAAGUCCCGCAACGAGCGCAACCCUUACUGUUAGUUGCUACGCAAGAGCACUCUAGCAGGACUGCCGUUGACAAAACGGAGGAAGGUGGGGAUGACGUCAAAUCAUCAUGCCCCUUAUGACCUGGGCCUCACACGUACUACAAUGGCUGUCAACAGAGGGAUGCAAAGCCGCGAGGUGGAGCGAACCCCUAAAAGCAGUCUUAGUUCGGAUUGUAGGCUGCAACCCGCCUACAUGAAGUCGGAAUUGCUAGUAAUCGCAGAUCAGCAUGCUGCGGUGAAUACGUUCCCGGGCCUUGCACUCACCGCCCGUCA